CAUCACUCACACACUCAUUUAUACAUUUAUUAAUAUAAACAUAGUGAGAAUGGACUUGUUCACCUGUCGUGUCUCCUCUGAAAUAGAAACUGGUAAAUCAUUCGCUGUUUGUGAUUUUAUAUUCGAGGUGUUUUCUUCUUGCAGCUUAUCGCCGACUCAAACGGCAACGACUGCGUCACUCCGUGCAAGAAGAUUGAAGCUGGACGGAUGACGCUGGAUCGGUGUGCUGAUGUGAAGAUGAUCCUGGUUUACACAGAGGGGUUGAUGGUGACUGAGGAGAAGAGGAUCGACCUCCACAGCCAACCGUGCUCUGGUUCUAACAGCGUGGCAUCUGGAAAUCAGGGGUCGGUCGGUUUGUUGCUGCUGGUUUUGGGGAUCGCUGGAUGUCUGUGAUCUGCUGAGUCAUCAAAGUUGGUACGAUCAAACUCAGGGAGAGAGAGAGAGAAUGGCCGGUGUCUUCGGGGGAACGCUGCUAAUUCAUGGGUUUCAGGGAUUCUUCCGUUCGAUGUAUUUCUGUGCUUCUGCCUUCCGUCCUCUGCACUUUAUUAGUAAGUAGUAAUGUUUUAGUGGUAGUAACGAUAUAUAAUAUUGAAAAAGUUAGGUAUUUUAUGAAGCAUUUCACUGCCUUGCCAUGCAAAGCCAUUCAGACAGUGUUCUGAAUGUGUUUUUUUAAUAUAUAUUUAGUACAGUUUUUAUAUUUAUCUGCUCUUUUCUACUGCAAAAAGGUUAAAUAAUGCACAUUCGUUUUUGUAUCUUAUUGUUAACUCUGCAUACAGUGUUUACUGAAAGGCUUCAUGUAUGUGUUUAGGGAAACAUAUUAAUAUAAUUUUACGGGUGCUUCUCUCAGGGCUGCAUUUACUAAGACACUCACAAAGAGAAGUAUUUAUAAGUUUAGCAACAUAUUUAUGAGCACUUCUUCUGCAAAUGAAGAAAAUAUAAAUUGUAUAAAAGUCAGUUAUUACACACUAAAGUAUUACGCCAUGUCUGUGGCAUGUACUCACUACCAAAGCACUUAGUAAACGCAGCCUCUGAUACCUCAUUCAAACUCAAACUGACCAAAGCUUUAUUAGUUUAUUAACAUUUUAACAGGUUAGUGGAAUCACUAUUCCCAUUAUUAGUUUGAUUUUAAUAGUUCAAAUAGGCAGCACUACGACGGCAUAUUAGAGUAAAAUUUAUUAAUUUUUACAAAAUGACUGACACGGGUUAAAAUUCCUGAGAUCAAAGCCGUAAAUUUACGAGAGAAUAUAUACGGCCCUAAUACGCUGUCGUACAGUACUAACUUUUAAAAUGGCAUUUCUGUUAUUAAACCAUACGGUACAAACUAUUUAGGUCAGUUCACUCAAGGACAGAAGGUAGAAAUCAGAAAAAGGAUAUUUAAUCGGACCGUGAGUGUUUACAUUUAGCUAAUAGAGACUUAACAACGUAACGUUAGCGAUGUUAGAUAUCCAGGUAUUAUGGUUAGCUGCUAACCAACGUGAUCUCACUGGAGGGCGUAUAAAUAACACGUCACGUCACGCGUUUUAAGCUUUUCAAGUGUCAUUUCAUUCCCGACUCGUCACAUUAUGGUCACGGUUUUCAACACGUGGUUAACGUUGUGAACUCAAAUUAAACUACGUGGUUAUGUUUUCAAAAAAGAUCAUAGUUUGGGUUAAAAUAAGCAAGUUUGAUUCAAGUCAACGGGUGUUUUUUUGUUUCACACGGGACACGGACGGCGGUCUCCUGGGUGAAAGUCACGUGUUUGUUUUCCAUCCAGCACUUGCGUGAAAUGACACGUGAAAAGCAAAAAAAAAAGUGUCGUGAUUUGAACUCGCAAGAUGACGGCAGCGUUAUUUAUACGUCAUUUCGUGACGCCAAAAUCAAUAAGAUGGAUUUAUUGAUGCCAGUCAGUGAAAGCUACAGAAUUUCCUCGCACAUUCCGGUUUACAGAAUCUCCCUGUGUUUCGUUGUGAAGAAAUAAAUGAAGGGAGUCAAAUAGGAAGCACUGACAACUUGAAACACUGUGAAAAGUUGCGCUCUCUACAUGUCAUGGUCACGAUUCUUUAAAAAUAAUGCUGAUUUAUGAUUUAUCGGUCGAGCUGUAGACUGAAUGUACUUGAAGGAAAGUCAAAGUAGGAAAGAGCGUCUGAUUUGGAGCUGAGGUUUUGUUCCCGACUGUAUAAACACAAAUGAAAGCAGCUUUAAGGCCAGUAAAGCACAAUAUGACGAGGGAAAUAGUAUCUUCAUUUAUCUAACUGGUAGUUUGAGAGUCUUGAAACAACACGCACAAAAGCCAGAUUGGGAAACGGUUGCAAAGAUCAAGUAUUAUUAUAGAUUAUUAGGUCAACAACCUUCUGCACUGUUUGUGACUCUCCUCCAGUCAUGUUGAUCUCAGCUGGAAACCCAAGUAGUGUUCUCCCUUUGAUUUUGAUUUACAGAGCCGACAUCGUACACACAAUUAUUUAUGACAUUUGUAUCGUGUUAUUCUAUGCAUAUUAUAUGUGUAUGUCCGCUCCAUUAUUAAGCUAUUUUAUUCUUUAAACUAAACCAUGCAUUAAGCUAGAACUUUACUUGGACUUUCACAACACUAUAUCCUCCAUUAUCUACUAUAUUAGUACCACUUCCAUCUUAAACACUGAAAGAUAGUUCGGAAUGUCAAAUUAUUUGAGAUCGUUUUGUAUCUUCACAAAAUGUCGAAUGCAUUAUCUGACAGCGACUUUCUGAGUUCUCUUAUUUUUUCUUUACACUUAUAAUUGAAACCCUUCGUAUGCAGCUGCACAACAUGCAGAAUGUAUUAAAUAACCAACAUCAUGACACACUGACAUACAUUUACUAAAAUCAUACUAUUUAAAGGUAUAAAAACACUGCUGAAUCACCUUUUAUUGAGCAAAUUAAUAAAAAAAAACAGAAGAACAACAUGUCAGAAGUGAGAGGUUUUUUUUAUUGUUACGUUAAUAUUUUUAAAUAUUGUAUGUCCUUUUAAAAUCAUUUCAAAGAUUCUGCCUUUAAUUUUAAGAAUUGAAUCUCUGAUGACGCUCUUUCCUGCUUCUCGACGACUCCACGACUGUUUUAGACCUUUUAAAACCGGUCACACCAGUAAAGUCGGGCAUUAAUUAAGCAUCCUGCGACCUUUAUUGACCGCUGCUCUGCUGGUGUUGUUGAGGCGUUACACAGUAUUGAUUAUUUGACAGGUGCUCCAAUAAAAACAGCAUUUAAAGACGUGCUGACAAAAUCAAUAAAGGGACAUUUUUCUUAAAAAGAGUCGAGUAAGAACACAGAAAAAAUCACUGAAAUUAGUUGUUUGUUUGUUUGUUUGUUUGUUUGUUUGUUUUAAGAGUUCUUAAAGUUCAAAAUCUGCUGCUGGUUGAAUGUUUGUUGACGUUAUUUAUUUGAGUAAUUCUGUAUCAAUGUGACUGCUGAUGAAUGUGAAGCCAGAACUGAACGUUAUCUGUACUGUAAAUUCCUCACACGUUAUCAUGCAUAGAAUAAUUACUUUUUUUAUCUUUACACCCUACAAACUAAAUCAACUGACAAAGAUGAAUGUGUCCUGUUAGCAUCAUACUACUUGUGAUCAGUAAAUACUGUGAUGUGUCACAAGUUCCUUCAGUGAGGAACUUAAACGUUUGUGCAAUUCUUCCUGAUUUCUUGCUUCUCUUCUGUCGUUUGUUAACAAAAUGCAAUAAAGUAUUUUCUUGAAAACGU